rnacentral:rRNA from 1 species
CUACGGGCGGCUCCAGUGAGGAAUAUUGCACAAUGGGGGGAACCCUGAUGCAGCAACGCCGCGUGGAGGAUGACGCAUUUCGGUGUGUAAACUCCUUUUAUAUGUCAAGAAAAUGACGGUAGCAUAUGAAUAAGCACCGGCUAACUCCGUGCCAGCAGCCGCGGUAAUACGGAGGGUGCAAGCGUUACUCGGAAUCACUGGGCGUAAAGGACGCGUAGGCGGGUUGGAAAGUCAGGCGUGAAAUCCUACAGCUUAACUGUAGAACUGCACUUGAAACUUCUAAUCUAGAGUAUGGGAGGGGGAGAUGGAAUUAGUGGUGUAGGGGUAAAAUCCGUAGAUAUCACUAGGAGUACCUAAAGCGAAGGCGAUCUCCUGGAACAUUACUGACGCUAAGGCGUGAAAGCGUGGGGAGCAAACAGGAUUAGAUACCCUCGUAGUC